rnacentral:rRNA from 1 species
GGGUUGUGAGGUUAAGCGACUAAGCGUACACGGUGGAUGCCCUGGCAGUCAGAGGCGAUGAAGGACGUGCUAAUCUGCGAUAAGCGUCGGUAAGGUGAUAUGAACCGUUAUAACCGGCGAUUUCCGAAUGGGGAAACCCAGUGUGAUUCGACACACUAUCAUUAACUGAAUCCAUAGGUUAAUGAGGCGAACCGGGGGAACUGAAACAUCUAAGUACCCCGAGGAAAAGAAAUCAACCGAGAUUCCCCCAGUAGCGGCGAGCGAACGGGGAGCAGCCCAGAGCCUGAAUCAGUAUGUGUGUUAGUGGAAGCGUCUGGAAAGGCGCGCGAUACAGGGUGACAGCCCCGUACACAAAAAUGCACAUGCUGUGAGCUCGAUGAGUAGGGCGGGACACGUGGUAUCCUGUCUGAAUAUGGGGGGACCAUCCUCCAAGGCUAAAUACUCCUGACUGACCGAUAGUGAACCAGUACCGUGAGGGAAAGGCGAAAAGAACCCCGGCGAGGGGAGUGAAAAAGAACCUGAAACCGUGUACGUACAAGCAGUGGGAGCACGCUUAGGCGUGUGACUGCGUACCUUUUGUAUAAUGGGUCAGCGACUUAUAUUCUGUAGCAAGGUUAACCGAAUAGGGGAGCCGAAGGGAAACCGAGUCUUAACUGGGCGUUAAGUUGCAGGGUAUAGACCCGAAACCCGGUGAUCUAGCCAUGGGCAGGUUGAAGGUUGGGUAACACUAACUGGAGGACCGAACCGACUAAUGUUGAAAAAUUAGCGGAUGACUUGUGGCUGGGGGUGAAAGGCCAAUCAAACCGGGAGAUAGCUGGUUCUCCCCGAAAGCUAUUUAGGUAGCGCCUCGUGAAUUCAUCUCCGGGGGUAGAGCACUGUUUCGGCAAGGGGGUCAUCCCGACUUACCAACCCGAUGCAAACUGCGAAUACCGGAGAAUGUUAUCACGGGAGACACACGGCGGGUGCUAACGUCCGUCGUGAAGAGGGAAACAACCCAGACCGCCAGCUAAGGUCCCAAAGUCAUGGUUAAGUGGGAAACGAUGUGGGAAGGCCCAGACAGCCAGGAUGUUGGCUUAGAAGCAGCCAUCAUUUAAAGAAAGCGUAAUAGCUCACUGGUCGAGUCGGCCUGCGCGGAAGAUGUAACGGGGCUAAACCAUGCACCGAAGCUGCGGCAGCGACGCUUAUGCGUUGUUGGGUAGGGGAGCGUUCUGUAAGCCUGCGAAGGUGUGCUGUGAGGCAUGCUGGAGGUAUCAGAAGUGCGAAUGCUGACAUAAGUAACGAUAAAGCGGGUGAAAAGCCCGCUCGCCGGAAGACCAAGGGUUCCUGUCCAACGUUAAUCGGGGCAGGGUGAGUCGACCCCUAAGGCGAGGCCGAAAGGCGUAGUCGAUGGGAAACAGGUUAAUAUUCCUGUACUUGGUGUUACUGCGAAGGGGGGACGGAGAAGGCUAUGUUGGCCGGGCGACGGUUGUCCCGGUUUAAGCGUGUAGGCUGGUUUUCCAGGCAAAUCCGGAAAAUCAAGGCUGAGGCGUGAUGACGAGGCACUACGGUGCUGAAGCAACAAAUGCCCUGCUUCCAGGAAAAGCCUCUAAGCAUCAGGUAACAUCAAAUCGUACCCCAAACCGACACAGGUGGUCAGGUAGAGAAUACCAAGGCGCUUGAGAGAACUCGGGUGAAGGAACUAGGCAAAAUGGUGCCGUAACUUCGGGAGAAGGCACGCUGAUAUGUAGGUGAAG